GAGUUUGAUCGUGGCUCAGAUUGAACGCUGGCGGCAUGCCUUACACAUGCAAGUCGAACGGCAGCAUGAUCUAGCUUGCUAGGUUGAUGGCGAGUGGCGAACGGGUGAGUAAUACAUCGGAACGUGCCCUGUAGUGGGGGAUAACUAGUCGAAAGAUUAGCUAAUACCGCAUACGACCUGAGGGUGAAAGUGGGGGACCGCAAGGCCUCAUGCUAUAGGAGCGGCCGAUGUCUGAUUAGCUAGUUGUGGGUAAAGGCCCACCAAGGCGACGAUCAGUAGCUGGUCUGAGAGGACGAUCAGCCACACUGGGACUGAGACACGGCCCAGGACUCCUACGGGAGGCAGCAGUGGGGAAUUUUGGACAAUGGGCGAAAGCCUGAUCCAGCAAUGCCGCGUGUGUGAAG
rnacentral:rRNA from 1 species